rnacentral:lncRNA from 1 species
GGGGAGCUGAGGAACUGGGGGGCUUAUUCUGGAAAGGCCUCUUGGUGGAAGUGAGCCUUCAGUAGGGCUUUGAAGAGGACAGGAGUGAACGUUUCGCAGAUCUGAUGGUCGGCCCAGGCGUCGAUACGUGUCCUCCUCUCCGGGAGGCCAUGGCCACGUGCGUACGGUCCCAUAAUAAUGAUAAUGAUGGUAUUUGUUAAGCUAUUACUAUGUGACAGGCACUGUUCUAAGUGCUAGUGUAGAUACAAGCUAAUCAGGUUGGACACAGUCCCUGUCCCACAUAGGGCUCACGGUCUUAAUCCCCAUUUCACAGAUGAGGUGACUGAGGCCCAGAGAAGCAAAGUGUCUUGCCCAAAGUCACAAAGGAGACAAGUGGCGGAGCUGGGAUUAGAACCCCGUCGUUCUGGCCCCCCGGGCCCGUGUUCUAGCCACGAGGCGAUGCUGCUUCCCCUGGCCAGAGACCGGGAUGUCCUCCAAGUCGUCAGCAGGGAAGGCGAGUGGUUUCUUGGAUGGCAGGCGUUUGCCAUGGACAGAGGCGGCCCCGAUCCUGAAGCAGAGUCGGCCCGGUGCGCGUGUCUGAAGAUGAGUUGGGUGGCGUGCGUGACACUUUCUCCCGAUCUGCUCAUAUAGAUGACGGUGCCAAGUGUCUACAGGCGAGGGAUGUAAGUAGUGAAUUUUCUUCCUCAAAUCCGGGAGGGGGCAUGGUGGCUUUUCCCGGAGGUGGAUUCAACCCCAACUUCCUCUACCCAAGACAUUUAUUCCCCAGUUCAAAUUUCGGGACCGUCCAUUCACAGUUUAUAGCUUUGUCAGAAAUCAACGUUGGACAAUGCGUGUCCUCUGUUUUCUUCUCGUUGUGUGCAGGGAAUCGGUCCUCUCUCCCGUGAAGCCAAGUUACCUUACGUUAACGGAGAUUAUGGUGACUCUGAAAUGUCUCCGUCCCGAUCUCUGCCAACGCAGAGGCCCCUGCAUGGAGGAUCACAGUCACGGCUUUAGAAGCCUAAUUGCUCUU